rnacentral:rRNA from 1 species
AAUCAACGCUGGCGGCGUGCCUAACACAUGCAAGUCGAACGCGAAAGCCCCGCAAGGGGUAAGUAGAGUGGCAAACGGGUGAGUAACACGUGGGUGACCUGCCUUCGAGUGGGGGAUAACGUCCCGAAAGGGACGCUAAUACCGCAUGACAUCCUGCUUUUGAAAAAGCGGAGAUCAAAGCUGGGGAUCGCAAGACCUAGCGCUUGAAGAGGGGCCCGCGCCUGAUUAGCUAGUUGGUGAGGUAACGGCUCACCAAGGCGACGAUCAGUAUCCGGCCUGAGAGGGCGGACGGACACACUGGGACUGGGACACGGCCCAGACUCCUACGGGAGGCAGCAGUGGGGAAUUGUUCGCAAUGGGCGCAAGCCUGACGACGCAACGCCGCGUGGAGGACGAAGAUCUUCGGGUCGUAAACUCCUGUCGAGCGGGACGAACGCUUCGCGGAUGAAUAAUCCGCGGAAUUGACGGUACCGCUAAAGGAAGCCCCGGCUAACUCCGUG